AUCCGUUGGUAGACUUGGGGCAAAGUUGGGGACUGUAGUGGUGAAAUGGUAGAGAAGGCGAUUUGGAGGCUAUGUGGACAUUGUUUCAACAAAGUCCUUUCCUUUUCACACAAAGGACAUUGUUACCAUACUUGGAUCGAGUUUGUUUAAGAUAGUGUUUGUGAGAUAUGGUUUAAAUCUUUUUGCUAAGCUGUUGGAUUAUCUUUGUCACUGUUUUUUUGGGUCAAAUCUUUGCCAGAGGUUUAGAUAUGUUUAUGUUCAUAAAUGUGGUGUCAUUCUUGUAAAUUGAUAGUAACUGAAUCCGAGCUGCGAUCAUAUAGGUCACUUGCAACGAAGAUUUCAUUUUGGCUGAGUAACUAAAUGUCUUCGCUUUAUGGUUUGAGCUUGUGUUUCUCGUGUUUGUUAGAUUUGAUUUACUAAUAGAUUUGGAAAGGAUCAACAAAAUAUCCUCGCAUUAUUCGCAAUGGAGUAGGAACAAAGCUGAUAAAGAAGUUGACAAAGAAUCUGAGGAUGCAGAGGAAUAGAAAUAAGGAUAGAACAGAAGGUUCAAAGGCUUGGAAUAUAGUGAUUCUGUGUUAAUUAAUAAUUUAAAAGUGUAAUUUAAGAAUAGUGUGCAGAAAAAUUUGUUAUGUUUGUUGCAAAACGAGUUUGGAUAUUUUGAAUGUGACUGAAUGUCAUAUAGAGUGUGAUUGGUUAUCAACCAGAGUAAAUGGUGAAAAAAUAUGGUGGAAAUACGAGGGAUAAAAAAUAAUAAAAUUGGAGGAAGCUUUAUCUUCUCAUUAAUAGUUGGGUAGGAUUUAUAGUUAAAUGAGAUGAAACAAUAUUCCACGAUUAGAUGAAAGUAGAGUAAAUUUGCUGAAAUAAUUUUUUACUUUAAUUUAUUCUAACUCUAUCAUAGUCAUACCCAUAACGUGAAUAUUUAAAGAAAAAAAUAUUAACUCUUCGUGGUAAAACCAAAAAUUUGAACUACUAAGUUUGAUAGGUAUUAUUAAGAGGACAAAAAAAAUUGUCUAAAACGUGUUAAAAAUUUUCAACAAGAAAAAAAUUGUCUAAAACAAGUUUAAAAAUUUCAACUUGAAAAAACAUUUUUGAAUAUUUACACUUAGUAAUACUCAAGGCGGUAGUAAUAUUUCCUUAUUCAUAGUAAUACUUUUACAAAUUACAAUAAUUUUUAGUAAUACCACAUCAAAAAACCAUUUUAGUGUCAAAACCACAUUAUUUUAGUGUAAUUUCAACACUAAAACCAAGGUCUUCUCCAACCAUAACAGUAAACUUCAGACUAAAACUAUUUUAAAAUAUUAUAUGUAUUAAGUUUUUUAUUUAUCAUUUAUUCAAUUGUAUGUUUUAGUAAUAAAACAAGUGAAUAGUGUUUUAGUGGGAUGAAUAGUAUUUUAGUGUGGUGAAUAGUAUCACACCAAAUUUGGUGUCAAAUUUUAGUGUUGCACUAAAAUGGUGUGAUUUUUGCAGCUCCAUUGGAGAGGAUUUGGUGUAAAAAUCUUAUUAAAAUAGUGUUUUGCAGUUGAGUUGGAGAUGACCUUAGUAUGGUCUUCUCUUCAAGACCUUAGUAUGAAAGUAUAAUGAUGUUUUCUAUGGAAAUGAGAUAUUUUCUAUCAACUUGAGAAAUUAAGAGUAUUUUAUGUCAAUUUGACAAAUAAACACAUAUAUUGACAUAUAAUUACGCAAUAUAUGAGAUAUACCUUCUAAAAUAAAUAAUAAGACAAAAAUUAAGGUUCUUAGAAACAUGGAUAAUACAUAGUAAUUCAAGGUAUUUUAAGGUAGUUCAAGGUAGUUCACAGUAGUACCUUAUAUAGUCCAUUAGCAGUCAUCCUUUUUCUUCUCGAUGCUUGUUCGAAUACAAUAUCAUUGGAAAGUAACUAAUAUUCAGCAUCCCAUCUACCUUAAUAUUUCUGCAUAUACUCUCAACCAAUUCAUAAUAUGUAAACUCUUCCACAGAUGUCUUCAUCACUAAAGUGUGAAUUUAUCUUCUCCCAAAAUUCAUUUUAUCUCAGCCUCAUCUUUGAUGUAAGUUUUCCCGUAGUCAAAACAUAUGAUAUAUGAGAAACCAUAGAUUUCCCUUAAAAACUAAAAUUAUUAUUAGUUAACUAUUUAAACAAUCUAAGUUGUUCAAAAACUUUAAUACAUAGUCGAUCCAGUAAUACUAGUAAUACACGUUUCACUUUAGCAGUACUAGUAAUUCUAGUAAUUCCUAAAAAAUUUCAUUUUCAUCGAUUUAACCUUUUUAAAUGAUCAUAAGGGUGUUAUACAAUCCACAAUAUCGUUUACCAACACUGUAAUGUAUUAUUUUGCUUCAAAACAGUGCAAAAUAAGCAGAAAUAUACAAAAUAGUCUUUAAACAUCAUUUCAUAUUUGUUUUAUACCAAUAUACCUAAAACUUUAGCUUUUCAUUAGUUUACGUGUUUUUAAAUGACCAAGAACGUGUUACAAAAUCCAAAUGAUCGUCUAACACCAUUUUAAUAUAUUUUUUCGUCAUAACGAUGUUAAAUACAAAGAAAUAUACAUAAUCUUCUUUAAAUUUUAUUUACAUAUUUCUUUAGAACCCCAGAUUUUUAAAACUAAUCUUUGAUAUUUUCGUUACCCUUAAUAUAUACAACGUAAAUAAUACAUUCCUACAAAAAAAAUUUAUUAAAAAAUGUACCAAAUUACUUUAAUAAUCAAUUUCGAAAUCACCAAAUGGAGCUCAUAAAAAAAUGUCGAAUAUCUUGGAGAAUUAAAAAAAAAAAAAGAUAGACACGUGUUAGGGGGAAAAAUGACGUCUGAGAGUGGAAACCCUAAGUAGAUUCUGGUUAAUGCAUCAGUUUUAUGAGAAAGGGGUCCACCUAGAAUUAAAAUAAUGAAACAAAAUGGGGUGGGCAAGAGAGAGACGUAGGGUCUGCGUAGGAUUAAAAUAAUGAAACAAAAUGGUGUGAGGAAGAGAGAGAGACGUGGGGUCCGCGAGUAAAAGAAAGAAGCUUGGGAUCCGCGUAAUAAAUAAAAACUAAUAUAAAAAGAAAGGUAAUAGAGGAAAGAGAAAAAUAGUGGGAUAGUGAGAAAAAUUGUUGGAUAGCGAGAAUAAAUUUUUUCCAAUUUGGACAUAUAAGAAUACUUUCCAAUUUUUAUCUAUCUAAAGACUUUUGAGAGACUGUCUUAACUCAUCUUUAAGCCUUUGGUUACUUUUUUUUUUCCCAUCCAACAAGCCUUUUUUAAGCUGUUAAGUAAUAAUCUCUUGAUCCUUUUUAAUAAUCUUUGACUUUAGACAUCUUUAAGCCGUUGGUAGUCUUAGUCGCUGUGUAGUCUUAGUAAUAAUCUCUUAGCCGUUGGUAGUCUUAGUAAUAAUCUCUUGAUCCUUUUUAAUAAUCUUUGUCUUCAAGAGCGUUUUCAUACUUUUGUCUUAAGCCGUUGGUCGUUUGUUUUUUCUCCAACAGAAAGUAAACCAAGCCAUUGUCUUUGUCGAAUGACUUUUUAAGCUGUGGGUUGUUGUUUCUCUACCCAAAAAAAGUACAGUACCAACUCAUAGUCUUUGUCUAGAGAUUUCAGAUAAUUUGACAUUCUUCCAUUGUCUAUGUAUUAAGAUGUGGUCAUUAUGUCCAUCCAACUCAUAGUCUUCAUAGCCUUGUGGUUAUCCAAGUAGAAAGCAGUUUGUUUACCCCUUGUGGUUCAUAGUCUUUCUCUUAACACAUCUUUAAGCCAUUGCUUUCUAUUUGAAGUUGUCUGGCAGAGUAAAGAAUUAAUUCUCCAUGUAUAUUCUCGUCACACUGUCUCAGUCAUGAUGAAUUUAUUUCGUUUGAGCCGUGGGUUUGUUUUCCAUCUAUAGUCUUUGUCUUGAAAUUUUUUAAAGCUAUUGGUUAUAAUACCAAAACCAAGCCACAGUCUUUUCAGAAGACACCUAAGCCAUGAGGUUAGGUAAGAACCUGUUGUCGAUUCAUAUUGUCAAGAAUCUUCUCCUUAUGAAUUUUUUUAAGCCGUUGGUCGUUUUAUCAAUACAGCAAGUCGUUAGUUGAUUUCUACCUUCCGACAAGUCUAUGGCAUAGACUUUCUCAAGAGACUUCUAAGCCGUGUGUUUAAAUAAAAAUCUGUGCUUGAUUCAUAAUCAUUUUCAAGCAUCUUUAAGCAGUUGGUUUCUUUUAAGCCGUUUGGGUAUCACUUUAUAUAGCAAGCGUAAGUUGUUUUAUCAUCCAACAAGUCUGUCUUAUGACUUCUUAAAGCUGUUUGUCAUUUUUCUUCAUCCAACAAAGUAUUCUCUCAGCCAUUAGUUGUUUUUAUUCAUCUGCUGACUUUCUUUUUCUAAGCCGCUGGGCAAUGUUUCCAUUCAUGAUCCAACAUAUCUAAAAAUGGACCCGUAUUGUCUUUUUUUUUAUUCACAAUCCUUGUUAAGAAUGUGUGUGUUAUGAUUCGUUAAGCUGUUGGCAGCCUUUGUCAAAAGACUUCCCAAAUCCAUUAGUUGUUCAUGUAUCAGCUCUGUCUUAAGGAUAAUUGCUCAUCCUUUCCAUCCACCAAAUUACAAACCAUCUCAUAGCAUUUGUCUUGAGAGCUUUUUCAGGCUUUGUUGUCUCAAGUCGUUGGUCGUUUUUCUUUACUCCAAGAAAUCCCAUCCAACACAUAGUAUUUUUAUACUUUUAAACCUUGUGGUUAUCGCAAAGACAUAGUCUUUGUUUCUAGACUUCAUCAAGCUGUUGGUCAUUUUUUUAACUUUUCCAUCCAACAGGUCUUCUUUUGCUGGUCAUUUUCCAUCCAGCAUAUCUAAAGCUGUAGGUCGUUUUCUUUCCAUCCAACAAAUUUUAAACCAACCCAGCCACCUCGUAGUGUUUGUCUAGUUUAAGUCUUGUGGUUAUCGCAAAGACAUAGAUCUUUAAGCCGUGUGGUUCAGAGUCGUUGUCUUAAGACAUCUUUAAGCUGUUGGUCGUUUUUUCCAAUCCAACGAGUCCUAUUUAAGCCAUUAGGCAUUUUUCUAAGCCGUGGGUCUUAAUGCUAUCAAGCCAUGCACUACCAACCAAUAGAUUCCAAGUCUUAUUUUCCAUCGCCAUAACAUCUUUCUUUAACAAUGCACUACCAACCAAGGGAUUCCUUACGGGACAGUGUACCAAAGUAAAAUCGGACAGUGUACCAGAUGAUCUUUUUGAAUUUCAAAGUGCACAGACAUCGAAUAGAACUGAUCUAGUGUGUUUGACUUUGUCCUCGUUUGAAUUCCAUCCUCAAAAAGACAGAAAUUUUAAAAACAAAAAAAAAAACUUGCAUUUUAGUUUCAUAGACAGAAAUUACCUUGGAGACGAUGGUCUGAGGCAGAGUAAGCUGCCAGGUAUAUGAAGAAGUAACUCUGGCAGAAAAAAAAAAGGGCGGUGAGUUUCCUCUUGCAAGCGAUACUAAAUAUCACCUGUUCAAACCAAAAACCUUGUUCAGAAACUAACCACUCUGACUUGUAUGACAUAAUUUAUACAAGAGAAUGAAUUUGACAGAUUGUACAACGCUUAGUUUUCAAAACGAAAACGGGCAAAAAAAACCUAAACCAAAAUCACUGCAAAAAAUUAUAGUUUGAACAAUGAGUAAUAUGAAAACGCUAAAUCGAAAUCACGAAACACACAAACCUUACAAAACCCCAAUUAACAUAUACAGAGACGUAACUCCACGACGAGUGAGAAACCCAAACAAUCACAUCGGGUUUCAGGCGGAAUCAAGCUUCAAAAGAAAACCAAACCAAUCUAAUCAAGAUCUCUCGAACAAGAAGAAGAAAAGAUCGAACAAUUCAGGAAAUUUGCGAACCCAUAAUCAAUUUCGCGAAUCAAAUAGUACUCUAAGCUUUAAAUUCCUAAAACAGAUUCACGAUUUAAAGAUAACGAAACACUUACUAAUCUAAGAUUGCAAUCGGAUUUUCCGGUUUCGCAAAUCUUCGAAAGAGAGCAUUCUUCCCCGGAAUUUUUUUCGUAAACAAUGUGGAAAUAACAAACACACGACAACAUUAUCAAUGGCAACUCUUAGCGAACAUCUUAGAAUAUUUAAUGACUAUUUUUAGUCUAAGAAGUUUUGUAAGAUACUUAACUAAAAUAUUACAUUAUCAAUAGAACUUUUCGAAGGUUCUUAGGUAAAAAAUAUUAUUUUUAUUUAUAAAUAGUAAUUAAGAUAUAUCCAUUUAUAUUCAAUACAUUAAAAAAAACUUUUUAUUUCAUUAAAUUAAAAUUACAAACAUUUUAUUACAUUCCAUUUAAAAAAAAAAUUAAAAAUAAUAGCCAAUACACAUUUUAUUCAAUUCACAGAAACUUAAACAUCAUUGGUUAUUUGGAAGAUGUCCAAAUUUAGCCCAAAUAUUUUCAAUCAAAUCGAAUUUUAAUUGUUCAUGGCUUGUCUGUUAUGAACGCUCGAUCGACGAUCCAUUGCAGUGCCGAGAUUUGAAUUCGAAGUAACGGUGAAUGUAUCCUCUUCUUCGCUUUCUUGAAAUUCUCUCUCGUUAUACUGAGUGAAUGUUGAACGUUCAUCCUCGACAAUCAUAUUAUGGAGUAUGAUGCAUGCUUUCAUAAUAUUUGCUAUUUUUUCUUUAUCCCAUAACUUAGAUGGAUUUUUCACUACGGCAAAUCUAGCUUGUAGAACUCCGAAGGCACGCUCCACAUCUUUUCGAAUAGCUUCUUGGGUUUUAGCAAAUAACGAAUGUUUCUCACUUUGUGGAAGUCGGAUAGAUUGAAUAAAAGUCGCACAUUUCGGAUAAAUACCAUCAGUGAGAUAAUAUGCCAAAUGGUAUGGAUUACCAUUAACAUAGAAGUUCACUUGUGGCACUAUUCCGUUAAUAAUGUCAUCAAAAACGGGUGAUCGAUCGAGAAUAUUAAGAUCGUUCAUAGUACCUGGAGCUCCAAAAAAUGCGUGUCAUAUCCAGAGGUCACUUGAAGCUACCGCCUCCAAAACAAUUGUUGGUUUUUCGGUUCCUCGUGAAUACAUUCCUUUCCAAGCAAUGGGGCAAUUCUUCCACUCCCAAUGCAUACAGUCGAUGCUGCCAACUAUCCCCGGAAAUCCACAUUGUUCUCCUAUAUAGAGAAGUCUUUGCAGAUCCUCAUGUGUGGGACGGCGGAGGUAUUCAUCACCAAACAAGCUGAUUAUUCCGGCGGUAAAAUUGUGCAAACAUUUCCGAGCUGUCGUUUCAGCAAGCCGGACAUACUCAUCAAGUGAAUCAGCUGCACCGCCAUAUGCCAACUGUCGAAUUGUUGCAGUACAUUUUUGUAGGGGUGUUAGACUAGACCGUCCGGUACAAUCUUUGCCUUGUUGAAAAUACGGUAUGUUGGUUGUGAGACGAUUCACAAUACGCACGAACAAUGAUUUGUUCAUUCGAAACCGUCGUCGGAAUAAUUGAACAUUAUAAGUUGGAGUCUUGCAAAGUAAUCAUUCCAGAGCAUCUGGUGGCCGUCUUCUCGGUGCCUCUCCAUAUAAAUACGUUACUUCCGCUCUUUUGGUUCUUCAUCAAAGUUUUGAACGUAAUCAUUAACAUAAUCUUCAACGGAAUCAUUAACAUAAUCUUCAUCAUCGUCAUCGUUAUGGUAGUGAUAAUGAGAAGAAGAUGCCAUUAGAGUUUUUUUACAUUUAAAAUGAAGAGUUGAUGAAAGGGGAGGGAUGUCUUUAAAUUGCCAAUGAUCUUUCAUAUUUAUAGGGGCAAAUAAGCUCUUCUUGUGAUACAACUUGUGAAUGUAUAUUGUGUUCUCGUGAUACAACUUGUGAAUGUAUAUUAUUUUGUUGUGGAAGUAAAAAACAACUCAUGUGACUCUUACACCUUUGAAUUAUUAUGUUGUACCUUUGAAUUAUUAUGUUGUUUAAAGUGGUUCACGAGACAAGUAGUUGUUGUUUCAAAGUCACAUUUUAAUUAUUUUUAUGUGAACGAGUGAAGUAGUUGUUGCACAGUUGGCUUACAAAUUCGAUAUCAAUAAGUUAAUUAUACAAGUGAUUGAAUCGAACAAUAUACAUGGAGUGGAGGCAUAAACAAUUAACUAUGGAGGAAUAAACAAUUAACUAACAAAAAAGUGCAUUACACGAACCCUUACAUUUAAUUCAUUACAAUACAACACAUUUGUAAUUCAUAAAGUUCAUAACAAUACAACACAAUAGUACAUAGUCUCAUAAGGGUUAACAGCAUUAGUACGACUAAGAAAAAGAGCAUGACACCAACACAAAAUUCCUAAACCAGACCUAGUAAUGCUGUUAACACCAACAUCACUUCCCUCCGAUCACCAGACCAAGUACCACUAAUACAAAGAGCAUGACACCAACACAAACUUCAAACUCAAUUUUUAAAGUAAACGACUUCUUUGCCAAGUCAGAAACUAAGUUUUCUAGCCUAACCACCUUUUCCUCAGACUCAGAGUUACUCAUUAAGGUAAGGUUAUCUACCUUUUCCUCCAGCUGCAGAAUGUGUUUAUCCCUUGCCCUCAUCUCCUCCAUCACCGCGACGUCCCAAAACUUCCAGACAUGGCAAUCGCCAUCAUCCACAUUCUUGCAGGUGUAUACCCUCCUCCCCGGAUCGUUUUUUGAUGUAGCUAGAAUUGGUGCAUCACCACAAUAGCAAACCUGGGGGAAUCCAAACUCCACCUCAGGUUGUGGAGGAUACUGCGUAGGGUACCGAGACGGCUCAGGAUACUUCAACUCCAACUCAGCUUGGUCACGACCAAUAAGCUCUUCUGUCUCGCUGUACCCACUAUCAGCUUGAUCCCCACCAUAGUGUGAUGAAUCUGAAGGAUGGCUGUAACUAUAUCGGCCCAUUUUUACGAAUUAAACCUGCAAAAAAAAAAAAUUGAAAGUAAGUCAAUAGUAGCCUUAAGAUGAUAGACAAGUAUAUCAAAUGUCGAAAAUACAUUUUUUUAAGAACUACCAAGCAGAAAAACAUUUAGGUAAAUACAUUUACUACACAUGGAAAGUCACAAACACAUACAUUAAGGAAAAUGCUACCAAACAGAAAUACAUUAAGGUACCAAUUAUGAAACAGCGAAUUCACCAACACAUUUCAUGAAAUACAAACAUAGUAACUAGUUCAGGAAAUACAAAUAGAUAUCUCAGCAACAGAUAGUCAGAAAUACUGAGCGAGCAGCUUGUUCUUGACAAUCUCUUCAGCCUCGCUUAGUGGUCCUGUCUUGGCUAACAGUGUGUCUAAAAUGGCAAGCUUUGACAGUCUCUCUUUCAUCUCCAUCACAGUAGUAACAUCAGCAAGAGACUUUCCUUGAACCUCCUUCCUUCUUGCUUUAGCCGUUUUGACACCUUCAGGCCGGACCUCUUCAUCACCAACAGUGGUGCUUGAGGUCACUGAACAUUCCUUGAGGUCACUGAACAUUCCUUGAGGUCACUGAACAUUCCUCUCCAGCAUGUGGAGUAGAUUCAUAGUACUCAGCAACACGUUUCCAGAACGUCCCUGAUUUUUGUUCAUUCCCAACCACUGCAUCCUUAGAUGUGUUGAGCCAAGCACUUAUGACGACCUCGUCAUCAGCUGGAGUCCAUUGCCUUCUCUCCUUAGAGGCAACUGCUGGGUCUUCACGUUCAGGUGGACCGUCAGGUUGUUGUGAACUAUAAGGAGGUAUCUCGAAUGGAUACUGAGUAGAAGGAUAACUUCCAUACUGAAAGUUUUGGCUAUGGAGAAGAUAGCUAUAACUAGGGGACUCACUAUAGGGAUUCAAUGGAUUCCUUGAAUCCAUUUCGAUUAGAAGGACAGGAAUAGAAAAGAAAGAUACGUGAGAGAAAGAAGAGAGUAAGGGAUAACCACAACAAGAAUUAAACUUGCUGCGGCUAUUUAAAGAAAUUUGAGAGAACAACCAUCAGAGAGCUUAAAUGUUUCUCUAACAAUCAACUACCAGGGUCUAAUCAAUAUUUAUUACUCGGAAAAUAAAGAAUCAAAGCAAACAAGUAAGUAAAUAUGAUACACAUUAGUUACUUAUACUCGUUACACAUAACUAAUCAAUAUUUAUUACUCCUUCGAAACUAACUACAAAACCAAGCAAACUAACUACAAAACUUUGCCAAGUAACACUCCUUCGAAACCAAACUAAG